rnacentral:lncRNA from 1 species
CAAGUCCAAGCAUAAGCAGGUUGGAACUAGUACUACAGUGCCAUAGUGGUCCAUAAGCAGGCUGCUUCUGGUUUGUUGGGAUACAGUUCAAGGACCUGGAUAGAGCAAAAUAGAAAGGGAGCCCUGACCCCACCAUUUAAACAAUAGUUCCAAAAGAUGCAUGUAUCUCUUUUCCUUCUUACAGUUAUUUGACUGGAAUUAAUUAAAGGAGCUAACCUCACUGCUAGGGAGGCAUAAAAAGGUGAUACUUUUUUUUAGGUGGCCACGAACCAACUUAAAAUUUAAGAAUUCCAUUGCUGAAGUAUAAAGGACAUAAAUUAGCAGUCUCUGGAGAUUCAUUAGAUUAUGCUUAAGAGAAAACAGAAAGGCAGUUUCACUAAAGGGAGAAGAAAAAGUGUAUUACAAAAGAAGAUGUGGAGUGUAAAAUGUUUUUUAAGUGAGACUAAUAUUUAGUAUUUUUAUUCUGAUGGGCCUGGGUUAUUAGGGAAAAUCUGUUGAUACAAGAUAGAAAGAAGACAAUCACAAGAGUUCUUGAAUAUGUGAUAUAAAAUGGAUUAAAAUAAGUCAGAGAAAGACAGAUCCUAUAUGAUCUCAACCAUAUGUGGGACCUAAAAGGAAAAAAAAAUGAACUCAUAGAAAUAGAGAACAAAUUAGUAGUGUGUGUGUGUGGGGGAAAUAAAGGUGAUCAAAGUGUACAAAUUUCCAAUUAUAAGAUGAGUAACUUUGGGGGAUGUAAUGUACAAUGUGGUUCUAUAUUUAACAAUACAUAUUGUAUAUUUGAAAGUUGCUAAGAGAGCAGAUCUGAAAAGUUCUUAUCAACACAUGUGAGAUGUGAAAUGAUGGAUCUGUCAGCUAAGCUUAUUGUGGUAAUCAUUUUGCAAUAUAUUCAUAUAUCAAAUCAUUAUGCUAUACACCUUAAACUUAUACAAUGUUAUGUGUCAAUUUACAUCUCAGUAAAAAUGGAAAAAAUAAAUGGUGUGGACCUUAAGUAAGAAUAGAGUCAUUUCAGUAGUUGCAAUAGGAGGGAAGAAAGCUAAAAAAAACUUAGUCCAUUUGGUGACUGGGGGACAUGGCAAUUCUCUUCAUAUUGCCUCUGUUUACUCAGGCAAAUAAGAAGCUAGAACUUUAGAUAUUUAGAAAAAUAAGGAGAAUAUUGGGUGUUGGAAGUUUAGAGUGAGAGGAAAAGAUAUUAAUAUUUUUUCCCCAGAUAAUCAGAGAACCAACUGACUGAGGAGCUAUAAUAUAACUGUUUUAAAAUCUCUAGAUCAUAAAUUUAACAUAGCAUGUGUCAGUGGUAGCACAUUUCCUGGAAAUAUUCUCAGCACCUCAGAAGUAGAUGUGCGAUAGCCACAGAGUUGAAAAUUAUGAUGGUUCAAGUUUUGCAGACAGGUCUUCACAGGAAAGAAAGACACAAUAAGAGAAUGAUAAUGCUUAGGAUCAAAACCAUGUGAUGCUUGCUUUGUAUGAAAGGAAGUAAAGAGGUUUGAGGAGUGAUAGAAAAAUGGUCAAGUUAAUGCCUUGAAGAUAUAACUGGGUUCAAGAAUUAAUGGCAUGAACGUGUAGCUGGUGUGAGAUGCAAAGUAGGAGGUGGUGAUCAAAAUGAUAUGUCAGCUUUGAGUAUGGUUAUGGAAAUGUGUGGCUGAAAUGGGUAAAAUUGAAAGGAGGAGAUAAAGAGAAAGUUGUUAAUGACAGACCAUGAGUUACAGAGAGUAGAGUGGAAGGGGUUGUACCUAAGAUAUCUAAGUCAGAUUAAGGGAUAUAAAAAGUAUUGUAGGGAUGAGGGAUGACUUGAAAGGCUGAGGUUCUUUGUGGUAACAGAAUCAAAGGGACACCUUAGUGGCUGGAAAUGAAAAGGAGUUCAACGUGGCAUGAAGAGGGAUACAAAAUCUAGGAGAUGGGAAAGCAGCUUUUGCUGCUCUGUGGUGACUAUAUCACAUCUAGUACUACAAGUUAUACUUUUUAUCACAUUUUUUCAACAAAUAUUAAAAGUGUGCUAGAUGCCAACCACUCUAGAUAUAGGGAUGAAUAAAAUAGAGCCCUACUCAAAACUCUCUAGUAAAAGGUACAGAGUAAAGAUGCAUAUAAAAAAAUAAUAACUCACUACAGCAUGGUAGUGUCUGUAAUAGAGAUGUGAACAAGAACCAUGAGAACUUGGUAAAGGAAAUAAUUAGUCAUGCUUUCAGACAAAAAGAAGCAUUACAGUGGCUAUGUUCCAGACCUGAGGUAGACAAUUUGCAUAUGCUAAAUAUCAAGCCCCAGGUCAAAUGACUCUUAUUUAGAUGUGGCUUUCAGACACAGCCUCCAGCCCUGUGCUAAUUCGUUAUACCACACAGCUUCUAAUAACUGGUAUGUUGAGUUACUGGAUUUUUACAUGGGAAGAGAUUAACCCUGAAUAUGAGAAACCUCAGAAGCACAUGACUUCCAAUUUUUAAUCUGUGAAGAGAUUUCAAGUAGAUAGAGCAAAUAUAGAAUGAAUGGUCAGAGUUAUCCUUGGCUCCCUAUGAGACAACACUUUCCACGAGUUAGAACUAUCAGCAAAUGGGGAUAAGUAUUUUUGCUACUGAAGAUAUUCAGAGAUAGGAUGACUGGUGAGUCAAGAUGCAAAUAGCUUCCAAACUCCCUUCAAAUUCUGUUAUACUGUUAGUCCAUGAAACAAGCAAUGUAUAUGUGAGAAAUAUUAAAGCAAGCCCCAAAACAGUAUUAUAGGAAGUAGUAUGGCAAUAUUUAAAUGAAAGAAGCCUUGAAAAGCAGCAAGUUCAACUCCAUCUUUCAUUGUACAGAUAAAAGAGCAUGAAGUAAACAGGCUAAAAGAUGUGCCAGUGGACAACUCUGUUAACACUCUCGCAAGCAAAGUCUGGACAUACAGGACAUAAAGCUUUCAGGAAUUCAAAUUUAAAAAAAUACCUAGAGCUGUAGGAAGGCCUGGACUGGGAUGUGGGUAUCAUUGUAAUGGUGUGGGUUUCUGGACAGACGGGUUUAGUUGUUAGGCACUUGGUACCUGAAACUUAAUUAAUGAAAAGAAAGAAAGGACAGUCAAAGGGAUAGCAUAUUAUAAAUUAACAUCUUUAAAAAUUGGCUAAUCCUCACCAAGCCAUUCUGACCACGUAGAGUUUGUAUUCAGAUUUCAGUGUACCAGUGUAAAGGCAGAGGAAAGCUGUGCCUUACUUUACAUGCCACGAAAAGCUCUGUAUUAAAGUGACCAUGAGUACUUAUAUAUUAAACACAUGCAUGAGCAAUUCUGCCAAAGACUAAUGAAUUCCAUGGGUUUUCUUUAAUGUGAAAAUGCUCUUGGUCCCAAGCCAGGAUAUCUGCAGAUAUAAUAGAUCAUGUUUGGCAUUUUAUAUAAACUCCAGACAGGCAGUUGGAUGCAAAGCUAAGGACUAGAAAUUCAUAUAUUUUUAUUUCACUAGUUGAAUUAUGCAUUGAUUAGGAGAAUCCUAUUAUAAGUAGAAAAGCUUGCCAAAUCCAAAAUUUGAAGUGUCUUAGCAAAGAGUUCAUUAGAUUGAUUUGAUAUAAUACUGCUUUAUCUUUGACUAUUAUCACUUUAACCUUGAGCAUAUUGUUCAACCUCCCUGAAUUUUUGUUUUUUCUCAGUAAUAUAUAUUUUACUUGCCAAAUAUUGUUGCUGAAAUCAAUCGAUAAGACAUUUUUAUUAUUCUUUAAUAUAUUUAUUUACUCUUUACUCAGUUGAAUUUACCACUUUUUAGAAUAGACAUUUGGGAUAUAAAAAAUGAAUAAUACACAUGUUACCUGAAUAAAUGACCCCAGCUCAAUGCAAAAGAGCUAUUGAGACCUCAUAAGAUUUCGGCUAUGUGAUUCAUAUAACAUUUUUUGAGUAAAUAUCUGCUAGUUGGAUUUUGAAUUUACAACGGCAGUCAUCUUGUUCUAAGAAUGGUUCUUCAGUUAUUAUAAAAUAUUAGAGAUCAGGAGGGUGAAAGGCCAAUAACUAAUGAUUAAAUUUUAUAUACUCGUUUACCAUUCAUCAAUUAUUGUCAUUCACAUUAUUACAUCUGCUACUCACAGCCACCUUGUGGGGUUAAUGUGAUUGGACAUUGCUGUAAUUCCUAAUUGCUUAGGCAAAGAAACUGAAGGUCAGAGAAACUAAGCGAGUGUUUACACUAAGUUGGUCAACAUCAUGUAGCUAAUGAAAUACAUACUUUAGGCUAUCUAAAUUCAAAGUCCAAUUGCUUCAUGCUAACCCAGGCUGUCUUCACAUAAGCUAUGCUAUACUUAAAAAAAGCUUGGUGCAAGAAAUGAGGCUGAAUGGUUGUCUAUGAUUUGACAAGAGACGAGGAAGAAAAUAAGAGGGAUUUUCCCACCUUGUAUAACAACUGGAAAUAAUAACUAAAUAGUAAAUAUUUCUGCUCUGAAGUUAUUUUGGAUGUGAGUCUCCCAUUUGUCUUGAGAACUAAGUAAAGUUUUUCCAUUAGUGUCUUCUAUCCAUUUGUCUGAAUUAUGCUCAAGGGAGUAACUGUGUAAUUGAUGAUGAUAAGGUGUUUGCUAUAAUUUUGCUCAUUUGAGGUAAUCAAAUCUGGCACCAAAUGCCUUUGUAUGUCCGUCUUUAGUCAUUCUCAGCCACAGAAGUUCUCCAUUUCCUCCCUCUCUUUGUUAAGACCAUUAAGGUGUUAAGUGCAGAGUUACUCUUGAUGGAACAAGGCUCCAGACAGUCUGAGCUGAGAAAAACCAGCGCUGUGACUUAGUUGUCACAAGAUACUGUUGAUCAAACAUUAGGUAACUGAGGAUGGUAUUAAAGGGAAAAAGUCAAUGAAGGACUAACCAUGAGGAGUUCAGAAAGGAUAUUCCAGUACAAAUUUCAACAAAGUUGUUAAUAUUUUCUUUAAGGUCUUAAAAUGCCAUAAUUUUGAAAAGGUUAUAGUUUAUAUUAUAAAGAAAAAAGGGGAAGAAACAUUUUUAGGUUAUAUGAAUGAAACAGGUUUUUUGUAUUCCCUUUUAGAAAGGAAAUGUCUCAUUUAAAGGUGCAUAUGUAAAAAGAAUUUAUACAUUUCAACACACAAAUUUGAUAUUAAAAGUUUAAUCCAUCACUAAAAGGUUUUAAAAUUGGAGUGAUGAAAUAUGAUGAAGGAUAAUGUGAGAAAAUGUAUAUAUAUAUAUUAUGUAUAUAUAUAUGACUGGGUCACUUUGCUGUACAUCAGGAAUUGACAGAACACUGUAAAUCAACUAUAAUAGAAAAACAUCAAAAUCAAAAAAAAAAAAAAUCUGACUUCAGCGGCUCACGCUUCUGUUGAGAAGCAGGUUUGAUCCCUGGUCAGGUGCACUGGGUUAAAAAGAUGCAAGUUGCUGCAGCUGUGGCAUAGGUCACAGCUGUGG